rnacentral:rRNA from 1 species
GCUGGCGGCAUGCCUUAUACAUGCAAGUCGAACGAGAAAACCACUUCGGUGGCGAGUACAGUGGCGCACGGGUGAGUAACGCGUAGAUGAUCUACCCUUCAGUCUGGGACAACUCUUGGAAACGGGAGCUAAUACCGGAUAAAACCUUCGGGUUGAAAGAUUUAUCGCUGGGGGAUGAGUCUGCGUACCAUUAGCUUGUUGGUGGGGUAACGGCCUACCAAGGCGACGAUGGUUAGCGGGUCUGAGAGGACGAUCCGCCACACUGGAACUGAGACACGGUCCAGACUCCUACGGGAGGCAGCAGUAGGGAAUAUUGCGCAAUGGGGGCAACCCUGACGCAGCAAUGCCGCGUGAGUGAAGAAGGCCUUCGGGUCGUAAAGCUCUUUUAUGGGGGAAGAUGAUGACGGUACCCCAUGAAUAAGCACCGGCUAACUACGUGCCAGCAGCCGCGGUAAUACGUAGGGUGCGAGCGUUGUUCGGAAUUACUGGGCGUAAAGGGCGUGCAGGCGGAUUGGCAAGCCGGAGGUGAAAGCCCGGGGCUCAACCCCGGAGGGUCUUUCGGAACUGCCAGUCUUGAGAGGGUCAGGGGCCAGCGGAAUUCCUGGUGUAGAGGUGAAAUUCGUAGAGAUCAGGAGGAACACCGGCGGCGAAAGCGGCUGGCUGGGGCCACUCUGACGCUGAGGCGCGAAAGCGUGGGGAGCAAACAGGAUUAGAUACCCUGGUAGUCCACGCCGUAAACGAUGGGCACUAAGCGUCCGACGGGUUCGACCCUGUUGGGUGCUGCAGUUAACGCGUUAAGUGCCCCGCCUGGGGAGUACGGUC